rnacentral:misc_RNA from 1 species
GAAGUGCGAUAAGCAAUGCGAAUUGCAGAACCGCGAGUCAUCAGAUUUUUGAACGCAAGUGGCGGCAGCUUCGGCUGUCAUGUUUGUUUCAGGUGCCAUAAUUGGUUAAUUACAUCAUAGAAUAUAAUGUGAUUGAAGAAAUUCUCUCACAAAAUAUGGAAUAAUGUCAAUGAAGACUCCAAACGAACUAGUCACUAAAUGGUGAUAAUCGUUUGAGGAUCGAAAUUGGUGAAUCAUUAUUCAAAAAGAAAUUAUCCAAUUAUGGCACCUGAAAUAAGCAAGAGUACCCGCUGAACUUAA